GAUGAACGCUGGCGGCGUGCCUAAUACAUGCAAGUCGAGCGAACAGACGAGGAGCUUGCUCCUCUGACGUUAGCGGCGGACGGGUGAGUAACACGUGGAUAACCUACCUAUAAGACUGGGAUAACUUCGGGAAACCGGAGCUAAUACCGGAUAAUAUAUUGAACCGCAUGGUUCAAUAGUGAAAGACGGUUUUGCUGUCACUUAUAGAUGGAUCCGCGCCGCAUUAGCUAGUUGGUAAGGUAACGGCUUACCAAGGCAACGAUGCGUAGCCGACCUGAGAGGGUGAUCGGCCACACUGGAACUGAGACACGGUCCAGACUCCUCCGGGAGGAAGCAGUAGGGAAGCUUCCGCAAUGGGCGAAAGCCUGACGGAGCAACGCCGCGGGAGGGAUGAAGGUCUUCGGAUCGUAAAACUCUGUUAUUAGGGAAGAACAAAUGUGUAAGUAACUAUGCACGUCUUGACGGUACCUAAUCAGAAAGCCACGGCUAACUACGUG
rnacentral:rRNA from 1 species